rnacentral:rRNA from 1 species
UGAAUACGAGACGCUAAGGCGUCGAAGUAGUGUAUGUCAUACUUCCAAGAAAAGCUUGCACUGUCAUAGAUAAAAAACGUCUGUACCAUAACCGACACAGGUGGGUAGGUAGAGUAUACUAAGGGGCGCGAGAUAACUCUCUCUAAGGAACUCGGCAAAAUAACUCCGUAACUUCGGGAGAAGGAGUGCCUUAUUCGUAAGGUUGCAAUAACAAGAUCCAAGCAACUGUUUAUCAAAAACACAGGUCUCCGCUAAGUCGUAAGACGAUGUAUGGGGGCUGACGCCUGCCCAGUGCCAGAAGGUUAAAGAAGUUGGUUAGCAAUUGCGAAGCUGAUAACUGAAGCCCUGGUGAACGGCGGCCGUAACAAUAACGGUCCUAAGGUAGCGAAAUUCCUUGUCGGGUAAGUUCCGACCCGCACGAAAGGCGUAAUGAUUUGGAUACUGUCUCGGAGAGGGGCUCGGUGAAAUAGACUUGUCUGUGAAGAUGCGGACUACCUGCACCAGGACAGAAAGACCCUAUGAAGCUUUACUGUAACUUGAAAUUGAAAUUGGACUUUAUUCGCGCAGUAUAGGUGGGAGGCGUUGAUUAUAAUCUUGUGGGAUUAUUGGAGCCAUCAGUGAGAUACCACUCUUGUAAUGUUAGAUUUCUAACUUUGAAUCAUUAUCUGGUCAAAGAACAGUUUCAGGCGGGCAGUUUGACUGGGGCGGUCGCCUCCUAAACGGUAACGGAGGCGUACAGAGGUUUCCUCUGAACGGUUAGAAAUCGUAUCUAGAGUGUAAAGGCAUAAGGAAGCUUGACUGUGAGACCUACAAGUCGAGCAGGGACGAAAGUCGGUCUUAGUGAUCUGACGGUACUGAGUGGAAAGGCCGUCACUCAACGGAUAAAAGUUACCCUAAGGAUAACAGGCUGAUCUCCCCCAAGAGUUCACAUCGACGGGGAGGUUUGGCACCUCGAUGUCGGCUCAUCGCAUCCUGGGGCGGUAGUACGUCCCAAGGGUUGGGCUGUUCGCCCAUGAAAGCGGUACGCGAGCUGGGUUCAGAACGUCGUGGGACAGUUCGGUCCAUAUCCGGUGUAGGCGUUAGAAUAUUGAGAGGAGCCUUCUUUAGUACGAGAGGACCGAGAAGGACAUACCUCUGGUGUACCAGUUAUCGUGCCAACGGUAAACGCUGGGUAGCUAUGUAUGGAGUGGAUAACCGCUGAAAGCAUCUAAGUGGGAAGCCCACCUCAAGAUAAGUAUUCCC